rnacentral:lncRNA from 1 species
UAAGGCAGGAUCUCACUAAAUUGCCCAGGCUGGCCUUGAACUUAUGAUCCUCCUCCUCAACUUCCUGAGAAGCUGAGAUUAUAGGCCAGUACCACCGAGCCCAGCAAGUCCCAACUUUUCUAUACCACCCACAUUGGACUGGGUCCUCCCUUUCCAGCCUCCUCUCCAAACCACCCACCAGGAAUCCCGGGAGGGUGCCCCAGGACAUCCUGCCAGCUCCCACCUCUAGGUUGGCAAAACCCCCAAGAAAACCUUUCCCUUUUCCAUGACCCCUGGCAGUCCUGGCUUCCACAUAGGUGACUCUUGAUAGGAACCUUUAGGCCAGGACCUAACUGCCCUAACAGUGACCCCACUGGAGCAGUAGACUGCCCUUGAACCUCUCUGCAGGAUCCUUUUUGCGCCCCCCCCCCCAUUGGUCUAACUGGGCACAGCCUGUGAGCAAGUCUUUCCUUGGGGACAGAGUUCUGGGGGUAAAGUGGGAACACUGUGUGGCUGCUGACCUUGACAUUGUGUGGGAGGCCUGUGCUCACUGGCUCAGAGUAUCAGCAGUUACUGCUAACCCCACUAAAUAAUUAAGAUUGCAUGGCAGGGGACAUAGAAGUCUAGAAAAGAGCCGGGACUAUUAUGUCCCUGUUGUAAGUUAUAUUGUGGUGAAAUCGUUUAAAAUGCAGGCUGGAAGUGUAGCUCAGUGGUAGAACGCUAGCCUAGCAUUCUCAAGGCCACCAAAGAGAGAGAAAUAAACAGGUGGAAGUUUAAGAUAGCUUAGUACGUGUGGGGGACGGAAGGUGCUGAGAGGACAGCUGUGAGGGAGGACAGGGCCUGUUGGGGAGGCCCCUGGGGUGGCAGCUCCUGUGGGCACUGGGUGGAAAAGUGGGGAGAUGACUGGCGCCAGGGUGUACCCACCCCACCUCCCCGUUUUCCCCAAAUGGCCCUGACUUUAAAUAUUUUGACUAAGUUGCCAUUUCACAGAAAACAUACAAAAGAAUUCCAAAGUGGAAUUUAUUUAUAGAACAUGGCUCCUGAUCUUUGGAAAACUCAUGUCCCCUCCUGGUGGACACCCAAGGAAGCCUCUUAUCUGGUGUUCUUGGAGGGCCAGGACCCUUGCCCCCAUCAUGGACGGUUCUGGGAGGUCAGAAGUCAGGGACCUGCUGUGGUUGGGGGAUUCGUGGGCAGCGCUUUCAGAUUCUGUACCAGGUAGGACUAUGGUUCCAGGCAGCCUGACUGAGCAGGGC